rnacentral:tRNA from 1 species
ACCUGGCUGGCUCAAUUGGAAAAGCAUACAAUUUUUGAUCUCAUGGUUAUGAGUUUGAGUCCCAUGCCAGGUG